rnacentral:rRNA from 1 species
GACGAACGCUGGCGGCGUGCCUAACACAUGCAAGUGGAGCGACGAACCAGGGCUUGCCCUGGAGCAAAGCCGCGAACGGGUGAGUAACACGUGGGUAACGUGCCCCGAUGACCGGGACAACCCGACGGAAACUACGAGCUAAUACCGGAUGUCUUCCACACACAUCAGUGUGUGGAGAAAAGGAAGCUUCGGCCUCCGCAUCGGGAGCGGCCCGCGGCCCACUUAGCUUGUUGGUGAGGUAACGGCGUCACCAAGGCUGCGAUGGGUAGCUGGUCUGAGAGGACGAUCAGCCACACUGGGACUGAGACACGGCCCAGACUCCUACGGGAGGCAGCAGUGGGGAAUCUUGCGCAAUGCGCGAAAGCGUGACGCAGCAACGCCGCGUGAGGGAAGAAGGCCUUAGGGUUGUAACCUACUUUCA